GGCUUCAUAGCUCAGUUGGUAGAGCAUCGAACUAGUAACGCGGAGGUCAUGGGUUCAAAUCCCGUUGAAUCCA
rnacentral:tRNA from 1 species